rnacentral:rRNA from 1 species
GUAGUCUCGCACAGAUGCAUAUCAAUAAGCGGAGGAAAAGAAACUAACAAGGAUUCCCCUAGUAACGGCGAGUGAAGCGGGAAGAGCUCAAAUUUGAAAUCUUAAAGGGUUUCCCUUUACGAAUUGUAGUUUAAAGAAGUGUUUUCUGUUGAGGUUUUGGUAAAAGUUCUUUGGAAUAGGACAUCAUAGAGGGUGAGAAUCCCGUAUUUGACCUUUACUUUCAACUUUGUGAUACACUUUCAAAGAGUCGGAUUGUUUGGGGAUGCAGUCCAAAAUGGGUGGUAAAUUUCAUCUAAAGCUAAAUAUUGGCGAGAGACCGAUAGCGAACAAGUACCGUGAGGGAAAGAUGAAAAGAACUUUGAAAAGAGAGUUAAACAGUACGUGAAAUUGUCAAAAGGGAAGCGUUUGACACCAGUGUUGUUUUUCUGAAAAUCAAUUAAAGAACUGUUUAUGCUAAGUUGUUUAGACUUUAUCAGCUAACUGUUUAGUUUUGAGCUUUUCUUUAAUGCACUUUUCAGUUAACAAGUCAACAUCAAUUUCUUUUGCUGUAAAAAAGCUUGAGGAAGGUGGCUUGAGAUUCGUCUUAAGUGUUUAUAGCCUCUUGCCUAUGCAGUCGGAGAGAUUGAGGUCUGCAGCGUAGAUCCUUCGGGGCUAAAUGCAUUUGUGCUAAGUUAUAGCAUUUAUAGACAACUUGUUGACUACGAUUUGUCUUGUAGCUUACUCGCUUAUGUUAUUUUACCUACGCUUAGGAUGUUGAUCUGUAGUGCGUGCGC